UGCUAAGUAUACAUAUCAGUUGCUGUUUCUUUUUUAAUUCCACCAAAUAAUCAUACUUAGUAAUAUAGGACUUUAUUAGAUUAUCAAUUCAACUCAUGCAACUUUCCAAUGAGAUUACAUGGUUGUUUGAGUGUGGUUUCUGUCUUGAGUUCAUCCAACUAGAGCAAAGCUUGGUAAACCUUGUGAUAUGAGAUUUGCUGCUCAAAUUUUUGGCAACUUGAUAAUGGAUGACAUAAUGGAGCCAAUUGUGUAUUUGUUUUGUGUAAUUUAAUUUGCUGCUCAACUUUGUGUAAUUUAAUUUGCUGCAACUUUGCCAACUUUGUGUAAUUUGCUGCUGAACUUUGCUGUAGUUUAAUUUGGCAGACUUGAUUACUGCUGAA